AGUGAACGCUGGCGGUAGGCCUAACACAUGCAAGUCGAACGGCAGCACAGUAAGAGCUUGCUCUUACGGGUGGCGAGUGGCGGACGGGUGAGGAAUACAUCGGAAUCUACUUUUUCGUGGGGGAUAACGUAGGGAAACUUACGCUAAUACCGCAUACGCCCUACGGGUGAAAGCAGGGGAUCUUCGGACCUUGCGCGAUUGAAUGAGCCGAUGUCGGAUUAGCUAGUUGGCGGGGUAAAGGCCCACCAAGGCGACGAUCCGUAGCUGGUCUGAGAGGAUGAUCAGCCACACUGGAACGGAGACACGGUCCAGACUCCUACGAGAGGCAGCAGUGGGGAAUAUUGGACAGUGGGCGCAAGCCUGAUCCAGCCAUACCGCGUGGGUGAAGAAGGCCUUCGGGUUGUAAAGCCCUUUUGUUGGGAAAGAAAAGCAGCAGGUUAAUACCCCGCUGUUCUGACGGUACCCAAAGAAUAAGCACCGGCUAACUUCGUG
rnacentral:rRNA from 1 species